GAUGAACGCUAGCGGCAGGCCUAAUACAUGCAAGUCGAGGGGCAGCGGGUGUAGCAAUACAUGCCGGCGACCGGCGCACGGGUGCGUAACGCGUAUGCAACUUACCUCUAACAGGGGAAUAGCCCCGAGAAAUCGGGAUUAAUACCUCAUAAUAUUUAUCAUUCGCAUGUUUGAUAAAUUAAAGCUCCGGCGGUUAGAGAUGGGCAUGCGUGACAUUAGCUAGUUGGUGAGGUAACGGCUCACCAAGGCUGCAAUGUCUAGGGGUUCUGAGAGGACAUUGCCCCCCGCUGGUACUGAGACACGGACCAGACUCCGACGGGAGGCAGCAGUGGGGAAUUUUGGACAAUGGGGGCAACCCUGAUCCAGCCAUUCCGCGUGAGUGAAGAAGGCCUUCGGGUUGUAAAGCUCUUUCGCAAGGGAAGAAAACUUAGGCUCUAACAUAGCUUGAGGCUGACGGUACCUUGAUAAGAAGCACCGGCUAACUACGUGCCAGCAGCCGCCGUAAUAC
rnacentral:rRNA from 1 species